UACGGGGGGUGCAAGCGUUACUCGGAAUCACUGGGCGUAAAGAGCAUGUAGGCGGAUUGAUAAGUUGGAAGUGAAAUCCUAUAGCUUAACUAUAGAACUGCUUCCAAAACUGUUGAUCUAGAAUAUGGGAGAGGUAGAUGGAAUUUCUGGUGUAGGGGUAAAAUCCGUAGAGAUCAGAAGGAAUACCGAUUGCGAAGGCGAUCUACUGGAACAUUAUUGACGCUCAGAUGCGAAAGCGUGGGGAGCAAACAGGAUUAGAUACCCUGGUAGUCCACGCCCUAAACGAUGUACACUAGUUGUUGCUAUACUAGAUAUGGCAGUAAUGCAGUUAACACUUUAAGUGUACCGCCUGGGGAGUACGGUCGCAAGAUUAAAACUCAAAGGAAUAGACGGGGACCCGCACAAGCGGUGGAGCAUGUGGUUUAAUUCGACGAUACGCGAAAAACCUUACCUGGCCUUGACAUAGUAAGAACUUUCUAGAGAUAGAUUGGUGCUAGCUUGCUAGAGCUUACAUACAGGUGCUGCACGGCUGUCGUCAGCUCGUGUCGUGAGAUGUUGGGUUAAGUCCCGCAACGAGCGCAACCCACGUGAUUAGUUGCUAACGGUUCGGCCGAGAACUCUAAUCAGACUGCCUUCGUAAGGAGGAGGAAGGUGUGGACGACGUCAAGUCAUCAUGGCCCUUACGGCCAGGGCUACACACGUGCUACAAUGGGAUAUACAAAGAGCAGCAAUACCGCGAGGUGGAGCAAAUCUAGAAAAUAUCUCCCAGUUCGGAUUGUUCUCUGCAACUCGAGAACAUGAAGUUGGAAUCGCUAGUAAUCGUAGAUCAGCAUUGCUACGGUGAAUACGUUCCCGGGUCU
rnacentral:rRNA from 1 species